UUGUUGUUACUUAAGUCUUGGUAC
rnacentral:miRNA from 1 species